AACGCACAUUGCACUCUGUUUCGGCAGAGUAUGCCUGUUUGAGAAUCUAUAGUAUUCAUUCUCCGGUUUCCAUUUAGAGAGACCGGCGAGAGUUGAGACGUUCCACUCGCACUGGAUGUCUUGAAAGCUAUAGCUACUGGUCGUUUGCGACAGAAACGUAUGUGUAUGGAACCUCGGUUUCUCUAAUGCAGAGUAUGUUGUCGACACUAAGCCGGUACUCACCUAGUAAAGCGCAAGCUUGAACCAUGGUCUCAAAUCAGGCAGGAAGACCCGCUGAACUUAA
rnacentral:misc_RNA from 1 species